rnacentral:rRNA from 1 species
GACGAACGCUGGCGGCGUGCUUAACACAUGCAAGUCGAACGGAAAGGCCCUGCUUUUGUGGGGUGCUCGAGUGGCGAACGGGUGAGUAACACGUGAGUAACCUGCCCUUGACUUUGGGAUAACUUCAGGAAACUGGGGCUAAUACCGGAUAGGAGCUCCUGCUGCAUGGUGGGGGUUGGAAAGUUUCGGCGGUUGGGGAUGGACUCGCGGCUUAUCAGCUUGUUGGUGGGGUAGUGGCUUACCAAGGCUUUGACGGGUAGCCGGCCUGAGAGGGUGACCGGCAACAUUGGGACUGGGAUACGGCCCAGACUCCUACGGGAGGAAGCAGUGGGGAAUAUUGCACAAUGGGCGGAAGCCUGAUGCAGCAACGCCGCGUGCGGGAUGACGGCCUUCGGGUGGUAAACCGCUUUCGCCUGUGACGAAGCGUGAGUGACGGUAAUGGGGAAAGAAGCACCGGCUAACUACGU